rnacentral:rRNA from 1 species
CCUACGGGAGGCAGCAGUGAGGAAUAUUGGUCAAUGGGCGGGAGUCUGAACCAGCCAAGUCGCGUGAGGGAAGAAGGUACUGAGUAUUGUAAACCUCUUUUGCCAGGGGACAAAGGCGGCCACGGGUGGCCGUAAGAGGGUACCUGGUGAAAAAGCAUCGGCUAACUCCGUGCCAGCAGCCGCGGUAAUACGGAGGAUGCGAGCGUUAUCUGGAUUUAUUGGGUUAAAAGGGUGCGUGGGUGGAAUGCCAAGUCAGCGGUAAAAUCGCGGGGCUCAACCUCGCUCCGCCGUUGAAACUGGCGUUCGUGAGUGGGCGAGAAGUAGGCGGAAGGCGUGGUGUAGCGGUGAAAUGCAUAGAUAUCACGCAGAACUCCGAUUGCGAAGGCAGCAUACCGGCGCCCAACUGACGCUGAAGCACGAAAGCGUGGGUAUCGAACAGGAUUAGAUACCCCUGUAGUC